AUUGAAGGAAUUGAUCAAAUACAAAGGAUUUCAAGUGGCGCCUGCUGAACUCGAAGCACUUCUUGUCAACCACCCUAACAUUUCUGAUGCUGCUGUUGUCCCAAUGAAAGAUGAACAAGCGGGAGAAGUUCCAGUGGCUUUUGUUGUUAGAUCAAAUGGAUCUACCAUUACUGAGGAUGAAGUGAAGGAUUUCAUCUCCAAGCAGGUGAUAUUCUAUAAGAGAAUAAAGCGUGUAUUUUUCGUGGAGACGGUACCGAAAUCUCCAUCAGGAAAAAUUCUGAGAAAAGACUUAAGAGCUAGACUGGCUGCUGGUAUUUCAAAUUGAUGGAGAUACUAUAUGUUGUUUGAUUUGUACCUUAUGUUCGAUCAACAUAAUUUCCAGUUUGGCAACGGACGAAAUAUGUCUGUAAAUUAAUUUAUGACUUCUUUUAUUCAUCUUUUCAAAUUAUUAUGUGAUGAUAAGGUAUCAAAAGUAUUUUUUGUGGGAAAGAAAUAUAUAAA
rnacentral:misc_RNA from 1 species